UACGUAGGGUGCGAGCGUUAAUCGGAAUUACUGGGCGUAAAGAGCGCGCAGGCGGUCGUUCAAGUCGAGUGUGAAAGCCCCCGGCUCAACUGGGGAGGGUCACUCGAUACUGAUCGACUUGAAGGCAGGAGAGGGAAGCGGAAUUCCCGGUGUAGUGGUGAAAUGCGUAGAUAUCGGGAGGAACACCAGUGGCGAAGGCGGCUUCCUGGCCUGUUCUUGACGCUGAGGCGCGAAAGCUAGGGAGCAAACGG
rnacentral:rRNA from 1 species